rnacentral:rRNA from 1 species
CUCACCCUGUAUAUCACGUUGAAAGCACCGGUUCUCGUCCGAUCGAAGAAGUUAAGCAGCGUCGAGCCUAGUGAGUACUUAGAUGGGAAACCCAUGUGCUGUAAGC